CCAGCACAAGUGUCUUUAAAAUUAAGAUGAAUACAAAGAUAUAUUUGUUUCCAUAUUGAUGAUGUUUGCAUGCCUAUUAUGUGUUCCUUGCAGAUCUUCAUCUAAUUCAGAAACAAAGAAAGAGGUCUGAACGUGUUUGUUUAGCAAAGCCAGAAACAAAUAUUUAGUAACUUCAAUUGGGAGGGGGCCGCGCGAACGCAGGCCCCCACAGCAACAAAUUAUGAUGUAGGCUCCACCACUUGGGUAGACCUUAGGCUAGCACCCCUCCUAAGUGCAAUGGAGGUCACUUGCCUAGGCCAUAGACCUUGAUGAUCAUCCAUUGACCCCAUCCAGGUAAGUAUGUUACAAUGAAUCACACACUUGUUCUUUAUACCUCAUGUUCUGUACUAUUCACUCUAACAGUUCCGAUGUGGUACUUAUUGUGAACAUAUAUUUUGAAAGCGGUAUGUAUUUAUAUGCUGGCAUCACAUGUGAAGAAUUUUACACUAACUCCAUUAGAAUGCAAAUAGAAAAACUUUAUAUAAUAAUAUUGCAGUUGUUGUGUCCAUAUAAUUUUUGCUAAACUGAAGAUAUGUGUUUCAAAGGCUAUGACAAAAAUAGUUAAAAUCUGAAUUUGUGUAUUCUUGUAGAAUGUGAAUAUACUAGUUGUGUGUUGAAAAACCUAUGUUGUCUAAUUCAGAAAGUUGUUGCAGAAACAAUUAAUGAUUUUUUUUUCGCUUCUUAAUCUCAUUUUUCUUUAUGUUUUUCUUGAACAAUUCUGUUUUUCAAAAUUUAGGCUCUAACUCCUUGAAUGCCUAGAGGAUGGAUACCUUGAAGGCUUACAUGAGUUGAAGGGUGCAGUGGUGUUGAAUGUUAUUUAUGUGUUGAUUAUGCAUUUUAUUUGUCUCUUUUCCCCAUCUUUUAUGUUGUAUCAGAUAGUACAUUGUUUAGUUUUAGCUCCUUGAAUAUGAGUAUUUGUUUUUGUGCACAUUACUACUAUUCAAUAGUUGCAUCUUUUCUAGAAAUUAAAGUUUUUUAUGCUAAAUAUGCAUUAUUAAUGUUUGACAAUAAGUAAUAUAACAAAGCUGGAAGAAUGAGGAAGAAAGCAAAUGAAAAGAUAUUAGGUGGAAAAAGUUUCUAAGGAAAGGAAGAAGCCGUAAUGGGUUUGAAUUUACAAAUUGACGACGAAACAGUCGGUGAAGGUUGCAUGUUUGGUGAUGUAUCUGAAAAAAGGACAAGCAGGUAAAAGAAAUUUUGUUUGUAUCGUUUAAAUGAUGAUUUUGUUCGUUAUUGUAGAGGAUUUAUUUUUAGAAGCAAGUAAGAAGUAAGGUAUGUGUAGAAGAUUUAUUUUUAAAUUUAGGUUGAAAGACAAUCAGAUGCAUGGUAGCAGAAAUGCAUUAUUGUGUUAGAAAUAAUUUCGAAAAAUGAUUUGAAAUGAUUUCAUAUGAAUGAGAAAGAAGCAUAAAAAUAUUUGUUUCCAUAUUGAUUAAGAAAUGUUUGAAAUAAAUUGAUGAUGUUGCAUUGCAUUGCAUGUAUGUUUUGUGGGUUUCAAAUGUUGUGUAAAUGUUAUAAAUUCUUUUAAUUACAUAGAUGAAUUUAAUAUUAUCUAUUAAGCAAAGUAGCUAAGCCACCUCCUCAACAUUUUCAACUUUCAAGGGUAGUUUUUCUUAAUUUUAAGUAUAUGGAUUUAAUCUUAUUUGGCUAAGGAAAAUAUAUUU
rnacentral:lncRNA from 1 species